UUCAAAGAUCAUUCCCUCUCCAAGGGGCUACUUUAGUGCCCCUCUCAGGAAAGUAGCAACUUGGAAUAAAAUCUGACAUACCGAAUGUCUGGGGGUCAGGGAGGCCAAUUUCGUUUGCCUGCCUUCGGCUGGCUACAUGU
rfam:Tupaia chinensis contig6111, whole genome shotgun sequence.